GACGAACGCUGGCGGCGUGCUUAACACAUGCAAGUCGAACGGAAAGGCCCUGCUUUUGUGGGGUGCUCGAGUGGCGAACGGGUGAGUAACACGUGAGUAACCUGCCCUUGACUUUGGGAUAACUUCAGGAAACUGGGGCUAAUACCGGAUAGGAGCUCCUGCUGCAUGGUGGGGGUUGGAAAGUUUCGGCGGUUGGGGAUGGACUCGCGGCUUAUCAGCUUGUUGGUGGGGUAGUGGCUUACCAAGGCUUUGACGGGUAGCCGGCCUGAGAGGGUGACCGGCCACAUUGGGACUGAGAUACGGCCCAGACUCCUACGGGAGGCAGCAGUGGGGAAUAUUGCGCAAUGGGCGGAAGCCUGAUGCAGCAACGCCGCGUGCGGGAUGACGGCCUUCGGGUUGUAAACCGCUUUCGCCUGUGACGAAGCGUGAGUGACGGCAAUGGGUAAAGAAGCACCGGCUAACUACGUG
rnacentral:rRNA from 1 species